GUUGAGAUGGCCGAGUUGGUCUAAAAGGGCGUGGGUUCAAAUCCCACUCUCAACA
rnacentral:tRNA from 1 species